UACGAAGGGGGCUAGCGUUGCUCGGAAUCACUGGGCGUAAAGGGUGCGUAGGCGGGUCUUUAAGUCAGGGGGGAAAUCCUGGAGCUCAACUCCAGAACUGCCUUUGAUACUGAAGAUCUUGAGUUCGGGAGAGGUGAGUGGAACUGCGAGUGUAGAGGUGAAAUUCGUAGAUAUUCGCAAGAACACCAGUGGCGAAGGCGGCUCACUGGCCCGAUACUGACGCUGAGGCACGAAAGCGUGGGGAGCGAACAGG
rnacentral:rRNA from 1 species